GGGCCGCACGGCUAUAAUCUCAACAGGCGAAAGCCUGACGCAGCACUGCCGUCUUGAGUGAUGAAGGCCCUCGGGUCGUAAAGCUCUGUCAGAGGGGAAGAACCUCCAAUCGGUUAAUAUCCGGUUGGCCUGACGGUACCCUCAAAGGAAGCACCGGCUAACUCCGUGCCAACAGCCGCGGUAAUACGGAGGGUGCAAGCGUAGUUCGGAAUUAUUGGGCGUAAAGCGCGUGUAGGCGGGUGUUUAAGUCUGAUGUGAAAUCCCUGGGCUCAACCCGGGAAAUUGCAUUGGAAACUGGACAGCUUGAAGUACGGGAGAGGGUAGUGGAAUUCCGAGUGUAGGGGUGAAAUCCGUAGAUAUUCGGAGGAACACCGGUGGCGAAGGCGGCUACCUGGACCGAUACUGACGCUGAGACGCGAAAGCGUGGGGAGCAAACAGGAUUAGAUACCCUGGUAGUCCACGCCNGUAAACGAU
rnacentral:rRNA from 1 species